rnacentral:rRNA from 1 species
UACGAAGGGGGCUAGCGUUGCUCGGAAUCACUGGGCGUAAAGCGCACGUAGGCGGAUCUUUAAGUCAGGGGUGAAAUCCUGGAGCUCAACUCCAGAACUGCCUUUGAUACUGGGAGACUUGAGUCCGGGAGAGGUGAGUGGAACUGCGAGUGUAGAGGUGAAAUUCGUAGAUAUUCGCAAGAACACCAGUGGCGAAGGCGGCUCACUGGCCCGGUACUGACGCUGAGGUGCGAAAGCGUGGGGAGCAAACAGG